rnacentral:snRNA from 1 species
GUGCUCGCUUCGGCAGCACAUAUACUAAAAUUAGAAUCAUACAGAGAAGAUUAGCAUGGCCCCUGCGCAAGGAUGACACAUAAAUUCGUGAAGCGUUCCAUAUUUUU